AACGAACGCUGGCGGCAUGCCUAACACAUGCAAGUCGAACGGGAUCCUGGUUUCGGCCAGGUGAGAGUGGCGGACGGGUGAGUAACGCGUGGGAACCUGCCCAGUGGUGGGGGAUAACUGCGGGAAACUGCAGCUAAUACCGCAUGAGCCCGAAAGGGGAAAGAUUGAUCGCCAUUGGAGGGGCCCGCGUUCGAUUAGGUAGUUGGUGAGGUAACGGCUCACCAAGCCUUCGANCGAUAGCUGGUCUGAGAGGAUGAUCAGCCACACUGGGACUGAGAUACGGCCCAGACUCCUACGGGAGGCAGCAGUGGGGAAUAUUGGACAAUGGGGGCGAACCCUGAUCCAGCAAUGCCGCGUGAGUGAUGAAGGCC
rnacentral:rRNA from 1 species